GACGAACGCUGGCGGCGUGCUUAACACAUGCAAGUCGAACGGAAAGGCCCUGCUUUUGUGGGGUGCUCGAGUGGCGAACGGGUGAGUAACACGUGAGUAACCUGCCCUUGACUUUGGGAUAACUUCAGGAAACUGGGGCUAAUACCGGAUAGGAGCUCCUGCUGCAUGGUGGGGGUUGGAAAGUUUCGGCGGUUGGGGAUGGACUCGCGGCUUGUCAGCCUGUUGGUGGGGUAGUGGCUUACCAAGGCUUUGACGGGUAGCCGGCCUGAGAGGGUGACCGGCCACAUUGGGAUGGGGAUAGGGCCCAGACGCCUACGGGGGGAAGGGGGGGGAAAUUGUGGGAAAGGGGCGGAGGCCGUGGGCAGCACCCCCGGGUGGGGGAAGACGGCUUUUGGGUUGGAACCCGUUUGCGCCUGGAUCGAAGCGUGUGGAAGGGAAAUGGUAAAAAAAGCACGGGUAAAUACGGG
rnacentral:rRNA from 1 species